UGGGGAAUAUUGGACAAUGGGCGAAAGCCUGAUCCAGUCAUGCCGCGUGUGUGAAGAAGGUCUUCGGAUUGUAAAGCACUUUAAGUUGGGAGGAAGGGCAUUAACCUAAUACGUUAGUGUUUUGACGUUACCGACAGAAUAAGCACCGGCUAACUCUGUGCCAGCAGCCGCGGUAAUACAGAGGGUGCAAGCGUUAAUCGGAAUUACUGGGCGUAAAGCGCGCGUAGGUGGUUUGUUAAGUUGGAUGUGAAAUCCCCGGGCUCAACCUGGGAACUGCAUUCAAAACUGACUGACUAGAGUAUGGUAGAGGGUGGUGGAAUUUCCUGUGUAGCGGUGAAAUGCGUAGAUAUAGGAAGGAACACCAGUGGCGAAGGCGACCACCUGGACUAAUACUGACACUGAGGUGCGAAAGCGUGGGGAGCAAACA
rnacentral:rRNA from 1 species